AUUGAACGCUGGCGGCAGGCCUAACACAUGCAAGUCGAGCGGAGCGGCGGACGGGUGAGUAAUGCCUAGGAAUCUGCCUGGUAGUGGGGGAUAACGUCCGGCAACGGGCGCUAAUACCUAAUACUAUCAGUUGAGCCUAGGUCGGAUUAGAUAGUUGGGGGGGUAAAGGCCUACCAAGGCGACGAUCCGUACGUGGUCUGAGAGGAUGAUCAGUAAAACUGGAACGGAGACACGGUCCAGACUCGUACGGGAGGCAGCAGUGGGGAAUAUAGGGAAAUGGGCGAAAGCCUGAUCCAGCCAUGCCGCGUGUGUGAAGAAGGCCUUCGGGUUGUAAAGCUCUGUUAAUCGGGACGCGGUACCGGAAUAGAAAGCCACGGCUAACUACGUGCCAGCAGCCGCGGUAAUUC
rnacentral:rRNA from 1 species